rnacentral:misc_RNA from 1 species
GAAAUGCGAUAAGUAAUGUGAAUUGCAGAAUUCAGUGAAUCAUCGAGUCUUUGAACGCACAUUGCGCCCCCCGGAAUACCAGGGGGGGCAUGCCUGUCCGAGCGUCAUUGCUGCCCUCAAGCACGGCUUGUGUGUUGGGCCCCCGCCCCCCGGCUCCCGGGGGGCGGGCCCGAAAGGCAGCGGCGGCACCGCGUCCGGUCCUCGAGCGUAUGGGGCUUCGUCACCCGCUCUGUAGGCCCGGCCGGCGCCCGCCGGCGACCCCCCUCAAUCUUUCUCAGGUUGACCUCGGAUCAGGUAGGGAUACCCGCUGAACUUAA